rnacentral:rRNA from 1 species
AUGGACCCGCGUCGUGAGGGCAACUUGGUGGCCCACUCCGUCGAGAGCGCGGCCGCAGCCGCCAUGCACGUGCUAACAAGGUGCAUGAGCGCGGCCGCAAUCUGCGACCGGGCGGCCAUGGCAGCCCAAACGGCCGCUGUUGUUUCUCAGGUGGCGGCAGCAACAUCUGCCUCGGGGAUAGCAAUUGGCGAGAGCGGCACAGCAGCUGUCCGUUCCGCAGCGGCGGCCUUAGCCCUGAUGGAGGCCACCCACGACCAUGUCGAGGCCACCCACGCCGAGCUCGCGGCGGUCACCGCACAAAUCGAACGAAGCUUCUCCGACAUAGGUCGGCAACCCACGACCGAAGAGUUGGCAAUCACCGAGAGCGUUCGAGCAGCAGUCCGUUCCUCCGCCGCAUACCUUGCGAUGACAGAGCCCGUCCAAGCCCAGAUCGCGGCCGUCCAUGCCCAGCUCAUGGCGGCCUUUUCCAAAGAGAUGGCGGACGUGGAUGGCGAGAUGCUACCGAGUAUGGUGCGAUGGAUGACAUGGAGCCCCUUCCCCAGGAAACCGUCGGGUGCAAGCUGGACAUGGAGGCGGCGGCGGAGAUCGACGAGCACCAGCCGUAGUACUCAUCCUCCUCUGCCGUCUACACCAGCGCCGCCUUCCAGGCCGGCUCCUGCCGCCGGGCCGUCCGCAUCGUCAUCUGUUCAACCGCCCCCAGGCUGGCAUCCUAGUCCGAACUACCACGGCAAAAACCCUAUCUACAGGCCGCCGUCGACUCGUUCGGUUCCGCCUACGACAUCACCAGCACCGAGUCCUGCACCACCCACCAGUGCUUCAUCUGCGGUUGCAUGGCGGCCUCCUCAUGAUCCUUGGACGGGGCUUGUUCAAGCAUGGCCCAUGCCCUGGUCCGCUCCGUCCACCCUCAGUGCUCCGCCGGCAUACUCAGGUGCCUGGCAACCCGGCCUUCGGCCGCCUACUGGUGCUCCCGGGGUUCUCAACCCCCGACAGCCGGCCAAUGCCUAUCACGCCGCCCCGACGUAUGCUCCUUAUGGUCAUUACAGCACCGACGGCGGCGCCUACUACACACCUCAGCCGGCCGUGCUCCCGACGCCACCCCCACCACAGCCGGCCAAUGCCUACUACACUCCCCAGCCGGCCCUACUGCCUUCACCAUCUCAACCGCUCGGGUCGUCCACCCACGCCUCCGCCUCCACCUCCACCUCCACUCGCGCACUGGCGGCGGCGGCGGUUGCGCAGGCUGACUGCUUCCUUCCGAAGGAAUCCUUCCCCAGGUGUUUGUGUCUUUGUGAUAAUGCUUCUAGGGGCAAAUGUUUACAAAUUCCAACCAUCUUCUUCUCUGAUGAUAGUGUACUUGAAAUACCCAUGCUUUUGUUUUUCUUUUAUCGUGUGCUCCACACUGAUCUGAUUUUGUUUAACCAGGUAGCCGAUGGAUUGCUGCUACUGUGA